UUCCGCAAUGGACGAAAGUCUGACGGAGCAACGCCGCGCGAGUGAUGAAGGUUUUCGGAUCGUAAAACUCUGUUGUUAGGGAAGAACAAGUAUCGGAGUCACUGCCGGUACCUUGACGGUACCUGACGAGAAAGCCACGGCUAACUACGUGCAAGCAGCCGCGGUAAUACGUAGGUGGCAAGCGGUGUCCGGAUUUAUUGGGCGUGAAGAGGCCGCAGGCGGCCUUUUAAGUCUGAUGUGAAAUUUUACAGCUUAACUGUAAGCGGUCAUUGGGAACGGGGAGACUUGAGUGCAGAAGAGGAGAGUGGAAUUCCAUGUGUAGCGGUGAAAUGCGUAGAGAUAUGGAGGAACACCAGUGGCGAAGGCGACUCUCCGGUCUGUAACUGACGCUGAGGCGCGAAAGCGUGGGGAGCAAACA
rnacentral:rRNA from 1 species